rnacentral:rRNA from 1 species
AGUGAACGCUGGCGGUAGGCCUAACACAUGCAAGUCGAACGGCAGCACAGUAAGAGCUUGCUCUUACGGGUGGCGAGUGGCGGACGGGUGAGGAAUACAUCGGAAUCUACUUUUUCGUGGGGGAUAACGUAGGGAAACUUACGCUAAUACCGCAUACGACCUACGGGUGAAAGCAGGGGAUCUUCGGACCUUGCGCGAUUGAAUGAGCCGAUGUCGGAUUAGCUAGUUGGCGGGGUAAAGGCCCACCAAGGCGACGAUCCGUAGCUGGUCUGAGAGGAUGAUCAGCCACACUAGAACUUAGACACGGUCCAAACUCCUACGGGAGGCAGCAGUGGGGAAUAUUGGACAAUGGGCGCAAGCCUGAUCCAGCCAUACCGCGUGGGUGAAGAAGGCCUUCGAGUUGUAAAGCCCUUUUGUUGGGAAAGAAAAGCAGCAGGUUAAUACCCCGCUGUUCCGACGGUACCCAAAGAAUAAGCACCGGCUAACUUCGUG